UUCCAUGAAGCCGGAAUUGCUAGUAAUGGCAGGUCAGCAUACUGCCGUGAAUACGUUCCCGGGCCUUGUACACACCGCCCGUCACACCAUGAGAGUUGGGAAUACCCGAAGCCUGUGAGCUAACUAUAUGAGGCAGCAGUCGAAGGUAGAAUCAAUGAUUGGGGUGAAGUCGUAACAAGGUACC
rnacentral:rRNA from 1 species